rnacentral:rRNA from 1 species
UACCAGCACCCCGAGUGGUCGGGACGUUUAUUGGGCCUAAAGCAUCCGUAGCCGGUUCUACAAGUCUUCCGUUAAAUCCACCUGCUUAACAGAUGGGCUGCGGAAGAUACUAUAGAGCUAGGAGGCGGGAGAGGCAAGCGGUACUCGAUGGGUAGGGGGUAAAAUCCGUUGAUCCAUUGAAGACCACCAGUGGCGAAGGCGGCUUGCCAGAACGCGCUCGACGGUGAGGGAUGAAAGCUGGGGGAGCAAACCGG